rnacentral:rRNA from 1 species
UAAGUUUGUUAUGUUGGAUGUCGACCGGCGCACGGGUGAGUAACGCGUAUCCAACCUUCCCAUUUCUUGGGGAUAGCCCGUCGAAAGUAGGAUUAAUACCGUAUGAGGUCACUUGAAGGCAUCUAAAUGGGACGAAAGGUUUAUCGGUCAGGGAUGGGGAUGCGUCUGAUUAGCUUGUUGGCGGGGUAACGGCCCACCAAGGCGACGAUCGGUAGGGGUUCUGAGAGGAAGGUCCCCCACAUUGGAACUGAGACACGGUCCAAACUCCUACGGGAGGCAGCAGUGAGGAAUAUUGGUCAAUGGGCGAGAGCCUGAACCAGCCAAGUAGCGUGCAGGAUGACGGCCCUAUGGGUUGUAAACUGCUUUUAUAAGGGAAUAAAGUGAGUCUCGUGUGCCUUUUUGCAGGUACCUCAUGAAUAAGGACCGGCUAAUUCCGUGCCAGCAGCCGCGGUAAUACGGAAGGUCCGGGCGUUAUCCGGAUUUAUUGGGUUUAAAGGGAGCGUAGGCCGGAGAUUAAGCGUGUUGUGAAAUGUCGCGGCUCAACCGGGCACUGCAGCGCGAACUGGUUCCUUGAGUGCGCG